CCAAUAGCGUAUAUUAAAGUUGUUGCAGUUAAAAAGCUCGUAGUUGAAUUUCAGGCCUGGCUGGACGGUCCGCCCUUCGGGUGAGUACUGUCUGUGGUCGGGUCCUACCUUCUGGCGAAGCGUCAUGGCCUUAACCGGCCGUGGCGGGGAACCAGGACUUUUACUGUGAAAAAAUUAGAGUGUUCAAAGCAGGCAAUCGCUUGGAUACAUUAGCAUGGAAUAAUGGAAUAGGACAAUGGUUCUAUUUGUUGGUUUCUAGGACCGUUGUAAUGAUUAAUAGGGAUAGUUGGGGGCAUUAGUAUUCAAUUGUCAGAGGUGAAAUUCUUGGAUUUAUUGAAGACUAACUACUGCGAAAGCAUUUGCCAAGGAUGUUUUCAUUAAUCAAGAACGAAAGUUAGGGGAUCGAAGACGAUCAGAUACCGUCGUAGUCUUAACCAUAAACUAUGCCGACUAGGAAUCGGGCGAUGUUGAAAAAAUGACGCGCUCGGCACCUCAU
rnacentral:rRNA from 1 species